UAUCAGGCCACUUAGCAUCAUAUUGAUCCAACAGCUUACUUCAUUGAGACCAAUGGAGAUAACUCUUCAAUAGCCAUAAUUCCACUUGCCUGCAUGCUACAUAAAUUGCCUUCUCAAUCACCAGGUUUUAUUGUGGGGCAGGACUAUUCCUUUGAAGCUUCUGGUGCUGGCUGCUGUCAGAAGCAGGAUACUUGCCUCAAUGAUCCAUUGCUCCUAAUCAGGAAGAUCUACCAUGCAGACACAGAAUACUGCCUGUGACCAGCCCAGUCUACGCUCUACUCUUCUGAGUAUUAUCUUAGGUGUUAGACAUUUUAAUUUGAAGUAGCACCCAUAAUUGCAUUUUUAAGAAGCCAAAUCCAGCAUGCUUACCAGGACCAGCCCCUGGGGUGCUUGCUGCUUGCACUGGUUGGGUCCAGAUGUAAGCGUACUGCCCAGUUUGAUCCUGGCUGAGACUGUGGAGCCCAGAGAGUUACUUAACCUCUGGGGCCCAGAGGAAAUGGCUGGGCAGAGGACUUCCCCGACUACUGCGCUGGCCGUGGACACAUGUAAGUUCCUCAAAGUUCUGUUCAAGAUUAAAUUAGGCACAUUCAUUGUUUCUGAAUGUGGACCUUUGUUCUUAUGUGUUUAUGUAUACCAGCAACAGAAGUAGUAUGGACUAAUAGGUUUGGUAAAAGGCUUAUAAACUAACAGGUAGAAGUACUCAGCAGCUGUUCAUUAAAUGCAGAUAGUGUGGCUGUUCCACUUUUCAAGGUUUUACCAAGGUGCAAAACUGCAUCAGCCUGUCUCUGUCUCAUAGAGACACAUGGUUUCUUCCACUUCCAUUUUUUAAGGUAAUACUUACAUUAAGCUCUGAUUCACAGGAAAAUGCAAAUUAAAUCCUAAAAGUUUGUCAGCAUCUCGAUAUUCUCUUGAUUAAAAAAAGUUUAACUUGUUCUUCCUUUUUUUAGUAUAGAAAUAGACGUCUGAGUCACUAAUUUGUUUGCCCUCUUUGAGGCUGUUGAAAUGUAAAAGAGAUGAGUUAGCAGCCCCUGGCAGUGGGGGCUACAAUGGAGAUGCUGACAGACUUAUUUAUAGUGUGGUCAUGUUACCAGGCAUUACAAUUACAUUUCACUCAGGGAAGUUACUUUGACUUUUUAAGUGACAUCUGUAGUUAAACAGCUCUUUAAAGCUCAUCUUAACACCGUACAUGUUUAGAUGAUUGAAUUUUUGUCAUAAGCAGGGUACCAUACCAGUGGUUAUCCUGAUGCUCUGUUUUACUUUAAAGGCCUACAAUUGUCUUAUCUCAUUCCCUGCCUUAAUUACUUUAAAUGUACUGACAAGCACAACUGACCAAUUAAUAGUGCUUUUUCUCAUCUUAUCUCAUUUGUUAUCCAUGAUGCUCUUCCAUGUUGUAAUUACUUUUCAAUUUUUCAUGACUCAAAAUAGGAGAUGUACAUAAUGAAUACAAAUAGCAAAUUGAUUAAAUGUAACAUGCAUUGUAGCACCACCAAGACUGUCAUUUGUUAUUAAUGAGAGAGAUUUGUCAGGUUCUUGUGAAAAGGCUUGUGACGCACAGCAAUCCAAACCUAAUAGCUGUAAGACUGUAGCCAACUUUCAGCUGUUUAAUUGUCAUAC